rnacentral:snRNA from 1 species
GUUCAUUCCUGAACGUAUAUUUGAAGUGGAACAAUGCAGAGAGGAUUAGCACGGCCCCUGUGCAAGGACGACACGCAAUAGAAAUCUUCUGAAACACUUA